GAUGGCUUGGAGCUGGAUCGGCGUCGCCGCAUACUCUGCCAUAGUACGAGUUCUGGAGCUGGCCGAGGAGCAGAGGAAGGUGGUCUCACCGGAGUGUAUGAGGCCGGAUAGAAUCAGUCCGCUUAUUAGUAGACCUCCGAUGGCCACACCGAUAAGCCACGAUUUUUGGAGCAGAUAAUGUCUAUAAUUCUUCAUAUCUUAGAUUUUUUUUUUGUCUUUUUACAAAGCAAGGGAAUGAUGUUU
rnacentral:misc_RNA from 1 species